CUGUUGACAAAUUUGAGUUGAAGAACAUGUUACAACAGUUCUAAUAGCUGCAAACUGAUACUCAUCUGGAAGUUGCUAAGAUGUUUAAUGUGGUUAGCAACACAAUAAUUUCCUUACACAACGAUCUGAGCCAAAAGUUUGAUGUUUUUAACAACACGGCCAUGUAUUUGGAAGACAAGAUGACUUCUAUAUCUUCAGUUGAACUCCCCGG
rnacentral:lncRNA from 1 species